rnacentral:rRNA from 1 species
AUUGAACGCUGGCGGCAGGCCUAACACAUGCAAGUCGAACGGUAACAGGAAGAAGCUUGCUUCUUUGCUGACGAGUGGCGGACGGGUGAGUAAUGUCUGGGAAACUGCCUGAUGGAGGGGGAUAACUACUGGAAACGGUAGCUAAUACCGCAUAACGUCGCAAGACCAAAGAGGGGGACCUUCUGGCCUCUUGCCAUCGGAUGUGCCCAGAUGGGAUUAGCUAGUAGGUGGGGUAACGGCUCACCUAGGCGACGAUCCCUAGCUGGUCUGAGAGGAUGACCAGCCACACUGGAACUGAGACACGGUCCAGACUCCUACGGGAGGCAGCAGUGGGGAAUAUUGCACAAUGGGCGCAAGCCUGAUGCAGCCAUGCCGCGUGUAUGAAGAAGGCCUUCGGGUUGUAAAGUACUUUCAGCGGGGAGGAAGGGAGUAAAGUUAAUACCUUGGCUCAUUGACGUUACCCGCAGAAGAAGCACCGGCUAACUCCGUG